rnacentral:rRNA from 1 species
AGUGAAGCGGGAUGAGCUCAAAUUUAAAAUCUGGCUGGUUUACUAGUCCGAAUUGUAGUUUAAAGAAGCGUUUUCGGUGGCAGCCUGGGUAUAAAUCCUUUGGAAUAGGGUAUCAUAGAGGGUGAGAAUCCCGUCUUUGACUCAGUGAAUGCUACUAUGUGAUACGUUUUCAAAGAGUCGAGUUGUUUGGGAAUGCAGCUCAAAAUGGGUGGUAAAUUUCAUCUAAAGCUAAAUAUUGGCGAGAGACCGAUAGCGAACAAGUACCGUGAGGGAAAGAUGAAAAGAACUUUGAAAAGAGAGUUAAACAGUACGUGAAAUUGUUGAAAGGGAAACGUUUGACACCAGUCAUGCGGGUGGAAAAUCAGUCUUUUAGAGUAGGGAGUGGUGGGGGUUCGGACCGCAAGGCUGGCCUUUAUCUCAUCUCUGCGCUAAUGGAUGCACUUUUUCAUUUGCAGGUCAACAUCAGUUUCUUCUGCUGGACAAAACUCCGAGAGAAGGUAGCAGCUUUGGCUGUGUUAUAGCUCUGGAGCGAUACAGUGGAGGGGACUGAGGUUUUCGCAGUGUGUGCUCUCGGGCAAGGUUGAUUAGGUGCUAUGUGAUCGUUCGGUGUACAAUGCAUGCAUUUUGCGCUGUGUCUUUUGCAUACUCGCCUGACUCGACUCUUCCACGCUUAGGAUGUUGACUUAAUGGUUUUAAACGACCCGUCUUGAAACACGGACCAAGGAGUCUAACAUAUAUGCAAGUGUUUGGGUGGCAAACCCAUACGCGUAAUGAAAGUGAACGUAGGUGCGAUCCGCAAGGUGCAGCAUCGACCGAUCUUGAUAUUUUUGGAUAGAUUUGAGUAAGAGCAUAUAUGCUGGGACCCGAAAGAUGGUGAACUAUGCCUGAAUAGGGUGAAGCCAGAGGAAACUCUGGUGGAGGCUCGUAGCGAUUCUGACGUGCAAAUCGAUCGUCAAAUUUGGGUAUAGGGGCGAAAGACU